UGAACGCUGGCGGCGCGCCUAACACAUGCAAGUCGAACGAUUAAAGCACCUUCGGGUGUGUAUAAAGUGGCGAACGGCUGAGUAACACGUGGGCAACCUGCCCCUCUCAUUGGGAUAGCCACGGGAAACCGUGGAUAAUACCGAAUACUUCGAGUCUCCCGCAUGGAAGACUCGAGAAAGCUCCGGCGGAGAGGGAUGGGCCCGCGGCCUGUUAGCUUGUUGGUGGGGUAACGGCCUACCAAGGCAAUGAUGGGUAGCUGGGUUGAGAGACCGACCAGCCAGAUUGGGACUGAGACACGGCCCAGACUCCUACGGGAGGCAGCAGUGGGGAAUCUUGCACAAUGGGCGAAAGCCUGAUGCAGCGACGCCGCGUGCGGGAUGAAGGCCUUCGGGUUGUAAACCGCUUUCAGCAGGGACGAGGCGAAAGUGACGGUACCUGCAGAAGAAGCCCCGGCUAACUACGUGCCAGCAGCCGCGGUAAUACGUAGGGGGCAAGCGUUAUCCGGAUUCAUUGGGCGUAAAGCGCUCGUAGGCGGUCUGUUAGGUCGGGAGUUAAAUCCGGGGGCUCAACCCCCGUUCGCUCCCGAUACCGGCAGACUUGAGUUUGGUAGGGGAAGGUGGAAUUCCUAGUGUAGCGGUGGAAUGCGCAGAUAUUAGGAAGAACACCAGUGGCGAAGGCGGCCUUCUGGGCCAUAACUGACGCUGAGGAGCGAAAGCUAGGGGAGCAAACAGGAUUAGAUACCCUGGUAGUCCUAGCCGUAAACGAUGGACACUAGGUGUGGGGGAAUAUUUCUUCCGUGCCGCAGCUAACGCAUUAAGUGUCCCGCCUGGGGAGUACGGCCGCAAGGCUAAAAGUCAAAGGAAUUGACGUGGGACUGCUCAAGCAGCGGAGCAUGUGGUUUAAUUCGAAGC
rnacentral:rRNA from 1 species